GCCAGUCAUGUUCUAACGUCGGGCCAACGUUAACUGCCAACUACGUCGGCGAGGACCUGGCCAAUGACGUUGGGCCAACAGCCCGUGCCGACGGGACGCCACCGUAGCUUGCCGUUAGUCGGUUACCGAACUCACCUUCACGUAGUACCAAGGCAGAGCGAGGUCUUGGCAAGCCAUCGGCCAGGGCAGAUCUGUAGCAAGAAACGAGCUCGUUGGCCAAGCACGGCUCGGUUGGCCAGCCAAGCUCUUGCCAAGCUUGGUUCAAUCUCGGCAGCCUACCGUGAUGAUGCGCCUGCACACACGCUACGCACAUGACACCAGACUUGAAAGCGCAAAAACACGCUGCUGACAUGCCCCGGCGAUCGAAAGGCUAUCUUGAUCGUUGC